rnacentral:lncRNA from 1 species
AGGAAGGAGUUGAAGACGAGAGGAGGAGAUACUACGGUGGCCAAGAGUGAAGGGUAAUAUUGGUAUUUCGAUAUUUUUGUAUAGAUUCUGUUCAAAGAUUCGGUACAACACAUUCAUGGGAAGAGACUGAGUUUUCAGGAGAAAAGUUCUAUUAUCAUAUUGAGAAACAAAAUAUUUCAUGAGGAAAAAGUUGAUAAAAUGAAAUCUUGAAUCUUAGUACAAAUCCAAUAUCAUGUUAGUCAUUCUUGAAGAUAACAGUGUCUUCUGUAACAUGUUAAGUUAUUCAUGAUUUAGCACAACACAUAAACUAUAACGUCCUCUGUUUUGAAAUGGACAAAGAUAUAAAAAUACCUGUUCUAUCAUUGGCCAAAACUUGCAGGCAAAACACAUUCAAAAGCAGGUGAUAGAUUCAAUACAAAUACAGAUUGAGCAGCUGAGAUAGCACAAUGCACAAACUAACUUAUCAAAGUCCUAGCACGAGCACUUUCUGGGUUUUGGCUUGCUCCGCCUUCAAUGCAUCUUUAACUAUCAGAGAAUCUCCCGUUUUCAUAAUAAUGUCCUUUGAAUAAGGCAAGAAAAACAUAUGUUCUCUUGUUAUGAAAUCUUGUUCAUUGGUGGUGGUGUGGCUGGUAACCAAUGAUCCUCAUACAUAUUGAUUGGAAAUGAAGUGUAUUCUUCUUUAGGAGCGAUCUAACCAUGCUAAGAUUAAUGACCAACCAUAAGACUGGUCCUAUUUUGGUGUCGCUUCUAAGACAUGCGUUAUUUCAAUUACGAGCCUUCAAGAGUCUUGAAAAUAAGGGAUUUGGGUUUUAAAGGAUCCGCCAUGCUUAUCUUGCUAACAAAAAAUCAUUAAAUAUCUCAAGAUCUCAUAUUUUUUCUCCCUUCCUUUAUGGAUACUCUAAUCGCUUACAAGCAACCCAUGGAAUUAUUUUCGCAUCAGAAAAUUUAGUCUGCCACAACUUCCCUCUUCAAUAACACACUCAAAAUUACCUCUCUUUCUUCCCUAUCCUUCUAUCAGGUAAGU